CGUGGGACGUAAAGCGCAUGCAGGCGGCCUGUUAAGUCAGAUGUAGAAACGCCCCGGGGCUUAACCUCGGAAUUGCAUUUGAAACUGGCAGGCUAGAGUCUUGUAGAGGGGGUAGAAUUUCAGGUGUAGCGGUGAAAUGCGUAGAGAUCUGAAGGAAUACCAGUGGCGAAGGCGGCCCCCUGGACAAAGACUGACGCUCAGAUGCGAAAGCGUGGGGAGCAAACAGGAUUAGAUACCCUGGUAG
rnacentral:rRNA from 1 species